CUGGCUGAAAAUAUCUCAUUAUAAUGUCUGAUUCUAAAUAAUAUUUUUGAACAUAUGUAGUAACGUAUGAUAAGCUUUUUUGCCAAAUCCGUCAAACUGGAAGGACAUUUUAACGUUAAAAAAUGUAACGCUUUAACCCAUUUUUGUGGCAAUUUUCGUGUCAAAUGGAAGGUAGAAUAUAGGCAUAAUGUGAACCACUUUUUCAGCUUUUUCGUGUUGCGAUACACAACAACAUCUUCUGUGUGUUUCGAUUGUUUCUCUUUUUGUUAUUAUAUUCUAAGAAACUGUAGCGGCAAUACAAUGUAAACAAAUGUAAAUAACAUAAACUCGUUGAGUUCAUAAUAUCGUA